rnacentral:rRNA from 1 species
GAUGAACGCUGGCGGCGUGCUUAACACAUGCAAGUCGAACGAUGAAGCUGGGGCUUGCUCUGGUGGAUUAGUGGCGAACGGGUGAGUAACACGUGAGUAACCUGCCCUUGACUCUGGGAUAAGCGUUGGAAACGACGUCUAAUACCGGAUACGAGCUUCAGUCGCAUGACUAGGAGUUGGAAAGAAUUUUGGUCAAGGAUGGACUCGCGGCCUAUCAGGUAGUUGGUGAGGUAAUGGCUCACCAAGCCGACGACGGGUAGCCGGCCUGAGAGGGUGACCGGCCACACUGGGACUGAGACACGGCCCAGACUCCUACGGGAGGCUG